rnacentral:rRNA from 1 species
GACGAACGCUGGCGGCGUGCCUAAUACAUGCAAGUAGAACGCUGAAGAGAGGAGCUUGCUCUUCUUGGAUGAGUUGCGAACGGGUGAGUAACGCGUAGGUAACCUGCCUUGUAGCGGGGGAUAACUAUUGGAAACGAUAGCUAAUACCGCAUAACAAUGGAUGACACAUGUCAUUUAUUUGAAAGGGGCAAUUGCUCCACUACAAGAUGGACCUGCGUUGUAUUAGCUAGUAGGUGAGGUAAUGGCUCACCUAGGCGACGAUACAUAGCCGACCUGAGAGGGUGAUCGGCCACACUGGGACUGAGACACGGCCCAGACGCCUACGGGAGGCAGCAGUAGGGAAUCUUCGGCAAUGGGGGCAACCCUGACCGAGCAACGCCGCGUGAGGGACGAAGGUUUUCGGCUCGUAAAGCUCUGUUGUAAGUCAAGAACGGGUGUGAGAGUGGAAAGUUCACAAUGUGACGGUAGCUUACCAGAAAGGGACGGCUAACUACGUG